rnacentral:lncRNA from 1 species
CUCAGCCUGAAAGGCCAGGCUUCUGCAUAGCACCUCCUUUGAUGGAAAGAGAUUUGUCUUCCAACAAUAACCUUACAGUUACAAUUGAAGGUCGAUAGAAAUCUGUGACAUGAGUUCUUUUCUUUUUCAUUUUUUCUUUUUUUUUUUUAUGUGUGUGGGAAUUCAUGGACUUCAUUCUACAAAUAUAUUUAUCAGGCAGAGUUCAAA